UCCAACAAUCUUUUAAUCAGACUGAUAAAUUUACUGCAUUGAAUUUUGUGAGAGAUGGCUAAGUUUUCUUGCUCCCUCUUUUUCCUUGUUGUCAUUCUUUUUUCAGCUGCAUUGAUGGUGCCUAAAGUAGUUCAUGCAACACAAUGUGAAGAGAAGUUGUAUGAUUAUAGCUGCAUACCAAAAGAAUGUAACCAAAAGUGUCAAGCGAAGCACCCUAAUUCAUCAUCUGAAUGUGUUCCGCUUCCUCCAAUGCCCUUUAACUAUGCUUGCUAUUGCACCUAUGACUGUGCUUGAAACCAAGUUCUGCUUUUCUUUUCAUUCAACUGAUCGUAUGGUGAUGUCAUAAUUCCCCAUAUUUCCAUCAAUAAAAUAGUUGGAUGACUUUAUUCUUAUUAA